rnacentral:rRNA from 1 species
UGGGGAAUAUUGCGCAAUGGGGGAAACCCUGACGCAGCGACGCCGUGUGAGGGAAGAAGGCUUUCGGGUCGUAAACCUCUGUCAGGAAGGAAGAACCUCUCAAGGCUGAACAAGCCUUGGGACUGACGGUACUUCCAGAGGAAGCACCGGCUAACUCCGUGCCAGCAGCCGCGGUAAUACGGAGGGUGCAAGCGAUAAUCGGAAUCACUGGGCGUAAAGCGCGCGUAGGCCGUCUUUUAAGUCGGACGUGAAAGCCCUCGGCUCAACCGGGUAACUGCGUCUGACACUGGGAGACUUGAGUCCUGGAGAGGGUGGUGGAAUUCCGUGUUUAGGAGGGAAGUCCGUAGAUAUCCGGAGGAACACCGGUGGCGAAGGCGGCCUCCUGGCCAGGUACAGAAGCUGAGGCGCGAAAGCGUGGGGAGCAAAC